GAUGUGGUUACUCUUUUUCUAUGGGAACACAUCUUCGAAAUAAUAAGGACAGUUAGUGGAAAAAUAAUUCAAUAUAUCAACGUUUGAUAGCCAAAAUUUCUAGGAAUUUAUUAAAUUUGUAAAGGAAAAUGAUUCAUUAGCUUUCACUGCCCAUAAGCAAAUUAUUCACAGUCAUUUUAAUUUCAGGAUUGUGCUUGUCCUGAGCACGACUCUACGACCAUCUUUUUCUAGCACUAUUUUAUGUGUGCACAUAGGUUACAAACUAAAACCACCACUGGCUCAUCAUAAGAAAGAUAAAUAUUUCACAAAGGUUAACAAAUGCCAACGUAUCAUCUGUUGUUUAUAUUCUCUUGAGGCCAAGAUAGUGUCUUUGGAAUAAGAAAGAUCUAGAUGUGAAUCUUGGCUCUGCCACUCCACCAACUGUGUAACUUCAGGUACAUGACUAUUCUGAGUGGUUUUUUUGUGUAUAAAUGGAGGCAAUAUCUAUUUCAUGAAAGAACUCGGCAGAUGGUAUAGUGCUUAACACAAAGUAGGCACCCGAUAAAUAUUGCUACCCUGUAUCUCCAACUAUGAUAGAUAAUUAGGAUAACUCUAUAUGGUUUUGAAAACAAAAUUAUUUUGUAGGACUGGCUGUUCCCGAAAGGUUGCUCACUCAUCAGUCUGGACUCCCCACACCAUUCAGAAUGGGAUUAUAAAAUUAUCAACAGUUGAGACACUCAUACAUGCAAUUUAUUGACUGACUAAGCUUGCUUAGGUUGUGAGCCACUCACCUAAAUAGCCUUGGGUCUUUUUCUGUAGUGCAGUAACUGGGCAGUCUUUAUGAGCUAACAGUAGCUGUUUCAACUGAGCCACCUCAUUGCGUAGCAACGUGACUUCGUUCUGAAGAGAGAGGGGAAAAGAAGAGCAUCAAGAAAAUGCAUCCUCCACCCAUGAGCCCCCAGUAGCUGUUCCCACAGUGAGGACAGAAUGCUGCCUGGAUUUUCUCCCCUGAAUCUGGGAGACGCCUGAUCUCACAAGGCUUCAGACAGCUCAGGGCCAGUAUAGUCAUGAAUUCAGUGACAGGAGCUGCUUACACUGAAAACUGCAUUAUCUGGGGCAAAUACAUUUCCCUUUAGGUGUUCCAUGACCCCAGUCAGAUUCUACUGAUGACCUAAAAGAGUACCCUGGAGCGAUGAAUCUAAUUCCUUCCAUCCAAAUGGGUCUGUGGAUGAUUCAGACUCUAGCAGCAGGUUUGGGAGUAGAUGGUUCAUCAAUCCCAAUAAUCACCCAGGACCCACUCACACUCAGCUGAAUGUUCUGAGAAGUGAGUUCCUCUGCCUUCUUCUCUAGGGAGGACACCCAGAGCUUCCGCUUUUGACGGCAGCGGGAGGCUGCAGCCCGGUUACGCUCCAGAAAACGCUGCCGCCGUUCAUCAGGAUCUUCAUCCACUGUGCGUCGCCUUCUCCCUCCAGUGCUAGGAGUGGGCUGGGCUGGUGAGACCUGGGGUUCAGGAAGAAAAAGGGGUUACCUUAAGGGAACUUUCCAAAUUAAACCUGAUGUCAGUUAGGUUAGUAAGCUCUGUUAAAGAUCUGGUAAAGAUGUACCAGUCUCUGCAACCAGAGCAAGUCUCAUCACUAUGCCCCUGAGUUUCUUUUCUGUCUACCUCCCAUCUCCUUCCAGUCUUCUCAGCCCCAUACUAAGACAAGCUGCAACUCAGGAACUGAUUAUUUCUGAGACAGGUAGGGCAAGAUGAAAUGAGCAUCACUUUUUGUUUCUUAACAAAAGGGAAUCUUGUCAGUGGAGAAAUCAUAAUGAGGGCUGGGUGUCAGGGGAACUUUUAAGGAGACUAGAAUAAAAAUAUUUGAGAUUCACUGAUCUGGAAAACAAUAUACACAAACAACUGAAUGCUACAAGUUUCAGAAAAUGAGAAAAGAUUUUACUACCACUGAAAUACUGGCUAUCACAGAAAUACUCUGCUAUCACAGAGAGAUAUGGAUUAGUACAUCCUUAUUUUUUUUUUUAAUUUUUAUUUAUUUAUGAUAGUCACACAGAGAGAGAGAGAGAGGCAGAGACACAGGCAGAGGAAGAAGCAGGCUCCAUGCACCGGGAGCCCGACGUAGGAUUCGAUCCCAGGUCUCCAGGAUCGCGCCCUGGGCCAAAGGCAGGCGCCAAACCGCUGCGCCACCCAGGGAUCCCUACAUCCUUAUUUAUAUCAGCAAUCACCCUCUCCACCUUGUUUGUUCUGUUGGUUUUUAUUUAUUUGUUUGUUUAUUUUUAAUAUUCUGUUGGUUUUUAAACAAAAAACCAUUUUUAAUCCCUUUAUAAUUGAUGAUAUAAAACUGCCUUUAGUCUUUAAACUUGAGGCUGAUGUUCUCUGUCACUAAAGUACUUCUGGAUCAUCCUCCCUUUCUAUUAGCUGGUAUGUGUUCAGAGAAGACAGACCAACUUUAUAAUAGCAGCCAAACUUAAAAUGCAGAAAGGUCAGUCAUCUGUAUAAAAGAAACUAUAUAAUGUAAAACAAUGCCAAAAAUAAAUUCUUCCUGGAUCUGUUGUUAUCAGAGAAUAUCUGUAUUAGUAGUUUCCAAGUGCCAAAGCUCACAUCAGUUGCAUGAGAAUAAGCAUAAGCUUAUAAAAAACAAUCUUAUACUCUACUUUAGGCCCUACUAAUUUAUGUUCUCCAUUAAUACAGAUAAUCAGGGCAGCCCGGGUGGCUCAGUGGUUUAGCGUUGCCUUCAGCCCGGGGCCUGAUCCUAGAGACCCGGGAUUGAGUUCCACAUCGGGCUCCCUGCCUGGAGCCUGCUUUUCCCU